rnacentral:rRNA from 1 species
UACAGAGGUCUCAAGCGUUGUUCGGAUUCAUUGGGCGUAAAGGGUGCGUAGGCGACGGGGCAAGUCUGAUGUGAAAUCCCGGGGCUCAACCCCGGAACUGCAUUGGAUACUGCCUUGCUCGAGUACUGGAGAGGGAACUGGAAUUUACGGUGUAGCAGUGAAAUGCGUAGAGAUCGAUAAGGAAGGCCGGUGGCGAAGGCGAGUUCCUGGACAGUGACUGACGCUGAGGCACGAAGGCCAGGGGAGCAAACGGG